rnacentral:rRNA from 1 species
GACGAACGCUGGCGGCGUGCUUAACACAUGCAAGUCGAGCGGUAAGGCCCUUUCGGGGGUACACGAGCGGCGAACGGGUGAGUAACACGUGGGUGACCUGCCCUCAGCUCUGGGAUAAGCCUGGGAAACCGGGUCUAAUACCGGAUAUGACUCCAUGACGCAUGUUGUGGGGUGGAAAGCCUUGUGCGGCUGAGGAUGGGCCCGCGGCCUAUCAGCUUGUUGGUGGGGUGANGGCCUACCAAGGCGACGACGGGUAGCCGGCCUGAGAGGGCGACCGGCCACACUGGGACUGAGACACGGCCCAGACUCCUACGGGAGGCAGCAGUGGGGAAUUUUGGACAAUGGGGGCAACCCUGAUCCAGCCAUGCCGCGUGAGUGAAGAAGGCC